GGGGAUAUGGCUCAGCACUUGCCUGGCAAGUGUGAGGUCCUGAGUUCAAUUCCUGGUAUCCUCU
rnacentral:tRNA from 1 species